UUUUUACUGAAGAGCCCCAGACUAGGACGAAACGACUGUCCAGGAA
rnacentral:hammerhead_ribozyme from 1 species